rnacentral:lncRNA from 1 species
GGUCUCAGACCGUCCACAGCAGACACUGAAGACCCUCAGUCAAACCCACAGGAGCAUCAUGGGAACAUCAGAGCGGCUCAGGACAGGAGACAGCGGGGACAGGAGGAGUACCUGAAGCAGCUGCAGCGAAUCAGAGAGCAGUAUCAUCAUGAUGUCAGAUGCAUGAGACCGAGGGCGGAGCUGCAGAUCACGCCUGCAUCUGAUCUGAUGAACUGAUGAUGUGAUGAUCUUCUCAGGAAACACACACACUGAAGAAGAACAGAGAGCGGCACACACACGGGAAACCGCAGCAGGUGCAAACACACACACACACACACACACACACACACCACCAGAAACCUUGUUUAGAGAAUGUUAAUCAAUCAACAUUAUGAGAACAUAUAUCAAUAAACUUAUAAGAACAUUCCACUAGCAUUACUUUAAGAAUGUUUUGUCCUCACAUUUAUCGUUCUAAACAUGAUAGUGGGAGUUGUGCGGAUGUUCCUGUGUGCUGGGAGGAUUCACACUCCUUAUCUUGUGUUUGCAGAGAGGAAUCAUGUUUGAGAUCAAGCUGAGCGAUGAAGAGACGAAGACUGAGGAAGAUGAGGAGUCAGAGGACGAGCCCCUCAACCACACACUGACGUUUGCACAAGGAGAAAAGCUACGAAACCAACUGCAGGGGUCAGAGGUCAGACAGGAAGUGGAGGAGGAAGUGGUGAAGAGAGCUGAGUGGUGUCGAGAUGCAGCGGAGACGUUUCUGAACGCUCUGGAGAACAUGGAUGUGAUGACCGAGAGCAGCACGAGCCUCGCUCAGACCGAGGAGCAGCAGGAAGUAAACAGGAAGCACUGGACGAAUCGUCUGCCGGAGACACUGCUGAACGCUCUCUCUCAAGCAGACAUCAUGGACUGCAGCACAGAGACGCUGGUGUCGUCAGAGGAAGAGUGUGAUGAAGAUGAGGUGGAGGAGGAUGAAGAGCGUCUGGAGCCUCGAUCAGAUGAUGAAGACACGAACUUUGAGGAGUCUGAGGACGAGCUGAGCGACUCCAUGAGGAACCUCCUCACCACACAGGAACAGGAACAGGAAGUGAACCGCAGAUCACAGGAAGUGAGGGAGGAGACGCAGCCACCCACUCAUGAUGAGUCUGCAGCAAACUGA